AUAUGAUUUUUAUGGAUAAAGUGAUGGUAUUAUCAUUUGGGUGUAUAGUAUAGUUGAUCGGGUUUUCAGUAAACGCGUUUCUUGUCAAUGGCGACAUUCACAAAAAGAUUAGAAAAUCUAGAGGUUAGUUUGAUUGUCUGUUUGAAAUAUUUUAGUCAUCUGAAAAAAUGGAUGCAAUUAAUUAUGGACAUUAAUAACUCCCUCCUAACUAAAAAGUAAUUGUUUGUUUGACACGUUUAUAAGAUGUUAUUAACUUAAAAUAUAACCAACUUUAUAAAAAAAAAUACGAGACUGAAGAAGCUAUGUCGAAUUUGAAUUUUAAUCUACACUACGGUCAAAGAAACAAAUAUUUAUAAGAAAUCCACUCUAUCAAAAAAAUACUGAGGAAAAUUCAAAAAUUUCAACAUUAUAGAGAACUAGUUCAAUUUUAUUUUUAUAAAAUAUUUAUCAUAUAUGAUAUUAUACAAGCCAUCAAAUUCCACAUCAACAUGAACAUCAACAUCCAAUGCAUGUGUACCUUAAACCAUUUAGGGUUUUACGUCUCAACUACGUUACGACAAGGUCUCAAUCAUAUAUGAUAUAAGCCAAAUGUUUCUGAUUUUUCUCCAUAUAUUUGUUUUUGAAAUGAAUAUCCUAUUUCACAACUAUUAUAUAUAGAUAUAUGUAUUUUUAUAUUACAAGGAAACGAGUAUAUAAGUUUUUUGAAAAAAAAACAUUUUUUGAAAAAAGAGUACAUAUACUUUUGUCCAAAGAAAAAGAAAGGAGUGGAGUAUAUAUGAUUGAAACCCCGAAACAAAUUAAAUAUCCUUCAUUUUCUUUUUUAACAACGGAACACAUACUGUUACACCCACAGAAAAAAACAGAACACAUAUACUGUUGUUAUUAAUUAGUACAAGUCAUCAUCCGGUUAUUGGGGUUUUAUUUAUUAUUUUACCAUUUUAGUGUGCAUGAUUGUACCUUUUCAAUAUUCCACAUAUAUACGUUAACCACUAGAAUCUUAAACUUGUCGGAAACUACUUUCGUUUCUUAUAGUUAUAUAGUUUUUAAAUAAAAAAUUGGAUAUAGUUUCUUCAAUAUGAUUUUUUACUAUUAAUUACAUAAAUUUUUUGACCUACUCUUUGAACUAUAUACAUUAGGUAGAUAUAUAUAGAUAUAUAUAUAUAUAUAUAUAUAUGUGGUCAACUAUUGUAAUUAUUCAUAUUUCAAAAACCCAAAAAAACUCCUAAAAUACAAUAGGCAGUAUGGAGGAAAUUUGAUCAUAACU